rnacentral:tRNA from 1 species
GGUCGUGGCUCAGUGGUUGAGUGCUUACCUCACAUGUGUGAGGCACUUGGUUCAAUUCUCAGCACCA